rnacentral:misc_RNA from 1 species
GAUGAAGAACGUAGCGAAAUGCGAUAAGUAGUGUGAAUUGCAGAAUUCAGUGAAUCAUCGAAUCUUUGAACGCACAUUGCGCCCUUUGGUAUUCCUUAGGGCAUGCCUGUUCGAGCGUCAUUUAAACCUUCAAGCUAAGCUUGGUGUUGGGUGACUGUCCGCUUCACGGCGGACUCGCCUCAAAAUUAUUGGCGGCCGGUACAUUGGCUUCGAGCGCAGCAGAAACGCGAACUCNGGCCCGUCGUAUUGGCUCCCAGAAGCUAUCUUCACAAUUUUGACCUCGGAUCAGGUAGGGAUACCCGCUGAACUUAAGCAUAUCAAUAAGCGGAGGA